rnacentral:rRNA from 1 species
AUUCCAGCUCCAAUAGCGUAUAUUAAAGUUGUUGCGGUUAAAAAGCUCGUAGUUGGAUCUCAACAGCCUUGAAGCGGUUAACUUUGUAGUUUUACUGCUUUGUAGGCUGUGCUUUUGCUGGAGGUUUAGGGGUGCUCUUGAUCGAGUGUCUCUGGAUGCCAGCAGGUUUACUUUGAAAAAAUUAGAGUGCUCAAAGCAGGCUAAAAUGCCUGAAUAUUCGUGCAUGGAAUAAUAGAAUAGGAUGUCGAUCCUAUUUUGUUGGUUUUCGGGACUCGACAUAAUGAUAAAUAGGGACAGUCGGGGGCAUUUGUAUUCAAACGACAGAGGUGAAAUUCUUGGACCGUUUGAAGACAAACUACUGCGAAAGCAUUUGCCAAGAAUGUUUUCAUUAAUCAAGAACGAAAGUUAGAGGUUCGAAGGCGAUUAGAUACCGCCCUAGUUCUAACCAUAAACGAUGCCAGCUAGCGAUCUGCCUGCGUUUUUACUGUAGACUGGGCAGGAAGCUUCCGGGAAACCAAAGUUUUUGAGUUCCGGGGGAAGUAUGGUUGCAAAGCUGAAACUUAAAGGAAUUGACGGAAGGGCACCACCAGGAGUGGAGCCUGCGGCUUAAUUUGACUCAACACGGGAAAUCUCACCAGGCCCGGACACUGGAAGGAUUGACAGAUUGAGAGCUC